UGGGGAAUAUUGCACAAUGGGCGAAAGCCUGAUGCAGCAACGCCGCGUGAGUGAUGAAGGUCUUCGGAUUGUAAAGCUCUGUCUUUUGGGACGAUAAUGACGGUACCAAAGGAGGAAGCCACGGCUAACUACGUGCCAGCAGCCGCGGUAAUACGUAGGUGGCGAGCGUUGUCCGGAUUUACUGGGCGUAAAGGGUGCGUAGGCGGAUGUUUAAGUGAGAUGUGAAAUACCCGGGCUUAACUUGGGUGCUGCAUUUCAAACUGGAUAUCUAGAGUGCAGGAGAGGAGAAUGGAAUUCCUAGUGUAGCGGUGAAAUGCGUAGAGAUUAGGAAGAACACCAGUGGCGAAGGCGAUUCUCUGGACUGUAACUGACGCUGAGGCACGAAAGCGUGGGUAGCAAACAGGGUUAGAUACCCUGGUAGUCCACGCCGUAAACGAUGAGUACUAGGUGUAGGAGGUAUCGACCCCUUCUGUGCCGCAGUAAACACAUUAAGUACUCCGCCUGGGAAGUACGAUCGCAAGAUUAAAAC
rnacentral:rRNA from 1 species